CCCGAAGUGAAUAGAGUUAAUUUAUUUAGGGUUAACGUGAAACAGUUAUUCUAAAGGUAAAUUAGAGGCGAUAUACCAAUCAAUUUUCAUAUAUCUGGUUUGACUUAGUAUAGUUCAAUUUAUAUGUAGAUUUUUUUUAUCUAUUAAAAUAAGGUAGAGGGGUAAGCUUUCUAUAUUAAAUUAUAAACAUGAGGUUAAAGGUGAUUUAAUAAUCUUCGUUACGUUAGAUACAAUUUUAUUAAUUUAAGCAGGGUCUAACUAAAAAUUUAGUUAUAAUGACAAAAAUAAAUAUAUUAGUAACUAUAAGCUAACAUUAAUAUAUAACUUUUUAUAAGUUUAAUUUUAGUUGAACUUAAAAAGAAAUCGGCCUUUACCUUAAAAAGAUUCCGAAACUCAUUAAUUUCGCAUUUUUUAAAGAACAUUAUCUUGGAGGGUUCCAAGUAACCUCUGCCCUAUGAAUAAUUUAAAUGGCCGCAGUACUUUGACUGUGCAAAGGUAGCAUAAUCACUUGUCUUUUAAUUGGAGGCUGGAAUGAAAGAGGCGACGAGAUUUAGGCUUUUAGGUUGUAGUGUGAAAUUGACAUAAAGUUAAAAAGGUCUUUAUGAAUCAAAGGGACGAUAAGACCCUGUAAAACUUUACUAUAAAUUAAAUUGUAUAGCCAAAUUUAAACAUUUAUAGUUUAGCUGGGGCGGCUUAUAUAAAAACAAUUAUAAUAUAAAUAUAAUUAAUAAAAGUUUAGAACUCCUGUGGGAAAUAAAUAAGUUACUUUAGGGAUAACAGCAUAAUUCUCCCAGAGAGUCCUUAUUGGCGGGAGAGCUUAUGACCUCGAUGUUGAAUUGGGAUGUCUAGUAUAAGUAGAAGUAUAUUAAGAUAGUCUGUUCUACUAUUAAACUCCCACAUGAUUUGAGUUAAAUAUAAGAUAGAGUCCGGUUGGGUUCUAUCUCUUGAUUAUUUGGAUUAUUAAUAAAUUGUACGAAAGAGAUCUUUAUAUCUUAUUUUUAUUUUCUUCUUUUAUAGCUAUUAAAAUAUUUUUCAAAUGCUUUCAAAACAUAURCDBVGRGGKUGGUUUCUAUCUUUUGAAAAUUUGAGAUUUAAAUUGUACGAAAGGACCUUUAUAU
rnacentral:rRNA from 1 species